rnacentral:misc_RNA from 1 species
ACACCUCAACUCUCCACGGUUUUCCCGUGGUGAGCUUGGACUUUGGAGGUUUGCUGGCCCCAGGGGUCUGCUCCUCUUAAAUGAAUCAGCUUGCCAGUGUUUGGUGGCGUCACAGGUGUGAUAAAUAUCUACGCUUGCCGCCGUCCGCCAUGCAACCUUCAGCGAUGGAGGUUCGCUGGAGCUUAAAAACGUCUCUCCUCAGCGAAGACAGCUUUUUUAAC